rnacentral:rRNA from 1 species
AUUGAACGCUGGCGGCAUGCUUUACACAUGCAAGUCGAACGGUAACAGGCCUUCGGGUGCUGACGAGUGGCGCACGGGUGAGUAAUGCAUCGGAACGUACCCAGAGGUGGGGGAUAACGCAGCGAAAGCUGUGCUAAUACCGCAUGUGAUCUGAGGAUGAAAGCGGGGGACCGAGCAGCAAUGUUUGGCCUCGCGCCUUUGGAGCGGCCGAUGUCGGGUUAGCUAGUUGGUGGGGUAAAGGCCUACCAAGGCGACGAUCCGUAGCUGGUCUGAGAGGACGACCAGCCACACUGGGACUGAGACACGGCCCAGACUCCUACGGGAGGCAGCAGUGGGGAAUUUUGGACAAUGGGCGCAAGCCUGAUCCAGCAAUGCCGCGUGCGGGAAGAAGGCCUUCGGGUUGUAAACCGCUUUUGGCAGGAACGAAACGGUGUCCGCUAAUACCGGGCGCUAAUGACGGUACCUGCAGAAUAAGCACCGGCUAACUACGUG